UACGUAGGGCGCAAGCGUUAUCCGGAAUUAUUGGGCGUAAAGAGCUCGUAGGCGGUUUGUCGCGUCUGCUGUGAAAACUGGAGGCUCAACCUCCAGCCUGCAGUGGGUACGGGCAAACUAGAGUGCGGUAGGGGAGAUUGGAAUUCCUGGUGUAGCGGUGGAAUGCGCAGAUAUCAGGAGGAACACCGAUGGCGAAGGCAGAUCUCUGGGCCGUAACUGACGCUGAGGAGCGGAAGCAUGGGGAGCGAACAGG
rnacentral:rRNA from 1 species